CUACCUUUAUUUCUAUCAGGCACUAAUCUCACCCUAAAAGAUAGAACCCCCUCUGUCACUCUCACCCUAACAAACCCUUCAACAAUUGAGCCUGGUCGGUUGGUAAAAUACCUCCACCCACAACCGUUAGGUCCUGGGUUCGAGUCACCCUGGAGGAAAGUGUGAAAAUACUAUAAAUCCUUCUAAAUUGGAAAAAACAAAAACUCUCCCUAUCCCUCCCACCGAUCUGGCGCAUCCGGCGAAUCCGUCGUCUCUCUUCUCUUAAUCACUUCCCCUAAGGUCCUCGAUUGGAAAUUGAGUGAUGUGGCUUUCGAACAGGAAGCUUUGAGUCUCCAAUCGCCAACCUUCAUUGUGCGAAUCUAGAGUUCCAUCGUUGGUUUGAUUUGCUCUAUCAACUCCUAACUCCAAAUAAGCAAUGUAUUGAUUGUGCCGACACCAUUAUUCCAGUGAGGUGAGGUGGCUGUUUGUUUUGGUUCAGUGGUUGUGCAAUCCAUGCUACUUUCAGCGUUGUGACUUCGCGAGCUUCACUGUACAUGGAUGAGUCUUAAUUGAUUAUAUUGAUUGAAUCAAGAGCUUUGUGUGGUAUUUUUUGGUCAUUUAUAUAUUCUCUUAUGUGAGCUAUGGAGUGCUAUUGUAGGACUUUCUCUUCUUUUAAAUAGGCAUACUUGGCAACAUCAAUUGACUUGAAUUUACUGAUUCAGAUAUAUUCUUUUCAUAUAUGUUUAAUGUACUUGAAUUAAAUUUAGUAUUCAUUUUCUUUUAGAUUUUAUCAUUGGUAUCUGGUUUUUAUUACACUUUUGAGUAAUCUUUUUUACAUAUGUUUAAUUUACUGGAUUGAAAAAAUUUAAAGGCUCUAACAUCGAAUGGAUCUCCCCUUCUUAAUCAUGCAGGAGCGUCAGCCCUUGAGCUGGAAAUAUUACACAAAAGAAAUUGGUCCUCGCUUGGUAGACAUGUACUAAGAGGCAUGUGAAAGUAUGUGAGGCAUCCGAUUUCUUUUCAGUUUAUAAUCUUUUCAUUACUUGUUGGUUGGCUGUCUUCAUUGCGUAGUCUAUUUGGCAAUAACAUCCAGUAUUUAUGAGAGUUUGAUUUAGAAGUAUUGGCCAUAAAGUUCUUAUUUGCAGUCUAUUGAAGACAAACACAUGAUUUCUUCUUUCUAAUCUUUGUUUAGAUCAAUCAUAUAAAUCAAACUCCAGUUGAUCUACUUUCUUUAGUGAUUCGUAGCGACUUUAAUCAUGUGUUUCAAAUGGUUGGUAAGAACUUUAUGGUCUACUCUAAUAGGAAUAUUAGAUAUGCAUCAUGUAUUGUAUGAAAAAUAAUCAAAUGAUAGCAUCUUUCAUUGUUUUUAUUUUACAUGUGAGGUGAUAAUAGUUUUUUAAAAGUCGUUCGAAAUAAUCAAUUUUAUAUGAAUUGGCAGAUUGCUCUAUAUCCUUGUUUUCUUUAGAGAUAAGAGGCUUGAGAAAUAUGAUUGAUACCUUGUUCUAUAAAUUGCUAGAUAGAAAUUUGAUACUUAAUUGAAGUUUAAGUAUUUUUCUUGAGGUGUGUCAAGAGAAUAUACUAUGAGAAGAAGUUAACAUAAUCAAGACUGAGAUAUGCAAAAUAUUUUUUUCAAUUCUUUAGUCCGCCAAGUCACGCAAUUGAGUCAGUUGUUAGUUAGCUUUAUUUGAAUUUCCUAUUGAAUUGACAUCCUGUAAAAUUCUGUAAUCAGGAGUGUGAGAAGAAGAGAACACAUGCGAGAGAAGAGGGAAUUGGAAAUUUCCAGAAACAUUUUCAUUUCUUGCUAACUGAUACAAAGUGAGUUCUAUCUCUGUUUUAUACUACUUACUUACUAACUUGUAACUCUAACUCUAACUAACAACUGAAUCUAGUUACAAAUAUGCUAACUACAGUUAAGUUAAGUUAUUACAUCCUUUACACAUAUUUACUGUCACGACACAAUUUUCCCCCCAUAUGACGUUGGGACGGCACCUAAUCUCUAUGACUAGGUAAGCCUAACAUUUGCAGAAUAAUGAAAUGAAAACAUGAAUUAAACAACUAACUGUUCAAAAUACACAGUAAUCCCAAAACCCGGAAAAUCGUAAGUAACAAGUUACAGAAGAAAACUAGUAUCUCUAUACACCAGAGUCUAAUAACAGAAGUAAGGAAGGUAAAUGACAUAAGAGGGAAUAAAGGGGGACUUCGAGGUCUGCGGACGCGGUAGAUAUACCUUGAAGUCUUCGUACAACAACAAGCACUCUCAGCUAGUAGCGGGGCUGAUAAGAAAUACCUGGAUCUGCAUACAAAAUAUGCGUAGAAGAGUAGCAUGAGUACAUCAUAAUCGGUAUCCAGUAAGUGCCAAGCCUAACCUCGGUAGAGUAGUGACGAGGUCAGGUCCGGGCCCUACUGGAAUAUGAUAAUAAAGCAAGGCAAAAAUAAAAUAUCGCAGUAAAAUAAAGACUGAAAUUUAACAAGAAAGAAUUUAUAGAAGGUAACAGCUCAAUACACAGAAAUACAACAGGGGAUCUCCCGAGAUACCAUCUUGUAGUCCCAAAUGUAAAUAUGUAGGGGGAUCUCUUGGAAUACCAUUCCGUAGUCCCAAAGUAAAUAUGCAAGACAUGGGAAUCUCCCGGAAUAACGUUCCGUAGUCCCAAAGUAAAUAUGCAGUACAGGAGAAUCUCCUGAAAUACCGUUCCGUAGUCCCAAAGUAAAUAUGCAGUACAAGGGGAUCUCCCGGAAUACCGUUCCGUAGUUCCAAAGUAAAUAUGCAACGCAAACAAUAGAAAUACAAUUACAUCACGAAAUCUUACGAUUUAGACUAAGUACCAAUCAAGAAAGAAGUAGGAAAUUCACUAAGCAUGCUGCACAGAGUUCACAUAAGCAGUUAAGACAUGUAGACAUGUUGUAUUAGACUAAAUAGGAUAGCUACACAUAUUGGAAUAACUGAAUUAAGAAUGAAAAUAGAUUAAUACUCAUUAAAAUGGUAUAACUCAAAAUAAAAGGAAAACAGGUUGCUGCUCAAUAAGCAAAUCGGGUUUUUUUCUACAACUAGCCCGUGUACUUACUCGUCACCUCACAUACACGGUGCUCACAUAUCACAAUAGUUCCAAAUCUUAAGGGGAUUUCCCCCACACAAAGUUAGGCAAGCCACUUAUCUCGAAUCAAGCUCAAUCAAUUGAUCACAAUGCGUUUCCCACGAAUCCGGCUCCGAAUGGCCCAAAUCUAGCCAAAAGCAAUUACAUAUCAUAAAUACAACCAUAAUAGACUCAUCUAAUUAAUGAAAUCAAUACUUUAACAAAAAUUCCAAAAGUCGUCCUAAAAGGUCUACUCGAGCCCAUGUCUCGGAAUCAGAUAAAAGUCACAAAAUUCGAAAGCACAUUCACUCACAAGUCUAACCAUAUCAAAUUUACUAAAAUCCGACAUUAAAUGGUCCUUCAAAUCCACAAAUCAAACUUUCCAAAUCCCUAGCCUCAAACUCCCAAAUUCCACCUUAAAUACACACUAACUAGAAGGAAAAACAAAUUGGGAAGCAAGAUUAUUGAUCAAAAAAAAGCACAAGGGACUUACCUCAAGAAAUGCCUCGAAAAUGCUCUCAAAUAUCGCCCUAAACCGAGUUUGCAAAGUCAAAAAUGACAAAAUCACGAAGCCCUUCGGUUUUAAACACUUCCCAGGCAUUUCCACACCUGCAUAGCCUGGGCUCGCACCUGCGCGCCCGCUUCUGCGAAAAUAUGGGCUGGGCUGGGCUACAUCGCGAACCUUUCGGUCCACGUAACUCUUCUGUCUGGACUGGGCUGUGCGAAGUCUAUCCUGAAUCACCUUAACCUUUUCCAAGGCAUCCUGAACCAAGUCAGUACCCAAUAAUCUGGCCUCGCCCGGCUCGAACCAACCCACUGGGGACCGACACCGCCGACCAUACAGAGCCUCAUAUGGUGCCAUCUAAAUGCUGGACUAAUAACUGUUGUUGUAAGCAACCCCGCAAAGUGGCAAGAACUGGUCCCAAGUACCCCCAAAAUCUAUCACACAAACGCGGAGUAUAUCCUCCAGUAUCUGAAUAGUGCGCUUGGACUGUCCGUCCGUCUGGGGGUGAAAUAUUGUGCUCAACUCAACCCGAGUACCCAAAUCAUGUUGUACAGCUCUCCAAAACCGUGAUGUAAACUGCAUACCCCGGUCAGAGAUGAUAGAUACUGGUACGCCAUGAAGCCUGACGACCUCACAGAUGUAGAUUCGAGCUAGUUGCUCGGAAGAAUAGGUAGUCAUCACAGGAAUCAAAUGAGCCGACUUGGUCAGCCUAUCCACAAUCACCCAUACUGCAUCAAACCUCCGCUGAGUCCGUGGGAGUCCAAAAACAAAAUUCAUAGUGAUUCGCUCCCAUUUUCAUUCCGGAAUCUCCAACUUCUGAAGCAACCCACCUGGCUGUUGAUACUCAAACUUCACCUGUUGGCAAUUUAGACAUCGGGCCACAUACUUUAGUAUGUCCUUCUUCAUCCUCCUCUACCAGAAAUGUUGUUUCAAGUACUGAUACAUUUUUGCGGCACCCGGAUGAAUAGAUUACCGCGAACUGUGAGUCUCCUAGAGAAUCAACUCACGCAAACCAUCUACAUUGGGCACACAUAGCCUGCCCUGCAUCCCCAAUGCACCAUCAUCUCCAAUAGUGACCUCCUUAGCAUCACCGUGUUGGACCGUGUCCUUAAGGGCAAGCAGAUGGGGGUCAUCAUACUAACGCUCCCUGAUACGAUCAUAAAGAGAAGAUCGAGAGACCACAUAAGCCAAUACUCAACUCGGCUCAGAAAUAUCUAAUUUCACAAACUGGCCGGCUAAGGCUUGAACAUCCAACGCCAUGGGCCUCUCUGCUACUGGUAGAUAUGCUAAGCUCCCCAAACUCUCUGCCCGGCGACUCAAAGCAUCGGCCACCACAUUGGCCUUACCAGGGUGGUAUAAAAUGGUGCUAUCAUAAUCCUUAAGCAGCUCCAACCACCUCCUCUGAUGCAAAUUAAGAUCCUUCUGCUUGAACAGAUGCUGCAAACUCCGGUGAUCGAUGUAAAUUUCACAAGGAACACCGUACAAAUAAUGCUGCCAAAUCUUUAAGGCAUGAACAAUAGCUGCUAACUCAACGUCGUGGACAUGAUAGUUCUUUUCAUGCACCUUCAGCUAUCUGGAGGCGUAGGCAAUCACCCUACCGUCCUGCAUCAACACCGCGCCGAGACCAAUCCGUGAUGCAUCACAAUAUAUAGUAUAAGACCCCGAACCUGUAGGCAAUACAAAUACUGGGGUUGUAGUCAAAGCUGUCUUGAGCUUCUAAAAGCUCUCCUCACACUCCUAUGUCUACCUUAACGGAGCACCAUUCUGGGUCAACCUGGUCAUAGGUGCUGCAGUAGAAGAAAAUCCCUCAACAAACCGACAGUAAUACCCCGCCAAACCAAGGAAACUCUGAAUCUCCGUAGCUGAGGACGGUCUGGGCUAACUCUGCAUUGCUUCAAUCUUCUUCGGAUCCACCUGGAUCCCAUCACUCGAUACUAUAUGACCCAAGAAUGCCACUGAGUCUAGCCAAAUCUCACACUUUGAAAAUUUUGCAUAUAACUUCUUUUCUCUCAAGGUCUAAAGUGCAGUCCUCGGGUGUUGCUCAUGAUCUUCCCGAGUCCAGGAGUACACCAGAAUGUCGUCAAUAAACACAAUGACGAAUGAGUCAAGAUAGGGCCGGAACACAUUGUGCAUCAAGUGCAUUAAAGUUGUUGGGGCAUUGGUCAGCCUAAAAGACAUAACAAGAAAAUCAUAGUGACCAUAUCUGGUCGUGAAAGAAGUCUUCGGGAUAUCUGUCUCCUGAAUCUUCAACUGAUGAUAGCCGAAACGUAAAUCAAUCUUGGAAAAUGCUCUGGCACCCUGUAACUGAUCAAAUAAGUCAUCAAUACGAGGCAAUAUUUGUUCUUCACUAUGACUUUGUUCAACUGGCGGUAAUCAAUACACAUCUGCAUAGAACCAUCCUUCUUCUUCACAAAUAAGACAGGAGCACCCCAAGGUGACACACUAGGCCGAAUGAAGCCCUUAUCAAGCAAUUCAUGUAACUGCUCCUUCAACUCCUUCAAUUCAGGAGGAUCCAUACAAUAUGGAGGAAUAGAGAUUGGUUGAGUGUCCGACAACAAAUCAAUUGCCAAAAUCAAUAUCUCUGUCGGGCGGCAUGCCCAGAAGAUUAGCCGGAAACACAUCUGGAAAGUCCCUCACUACUGUAACUGACUCAACUGUAGGGGUAUCAAUACUGACAUUUCUCACAUAAGCUAGAUACGCGUCACACCCCUUCUCAACCAUUCAUUAGCUUCAAGAAAUGAAAUAACUCUGCUGGGAGUAUACUCUAAGGUACCUCUCCACUCUAACCACGGUAAACCCGGCAUAGCCAGCAUCACUGUCUUAGCAUGACAAUCAAGAAUAGCAUAAUGGGGUGACAACAAGUCCAUGCCCAAGAUAACAUCAUAAUCUACCAUGCUGAGCAAUAAUAAGUCGGCUCUGGUCUUAAAACCACUAAGAGCAAUCAAACACGACCGAUACACGCGGUCUACAAUAAGAGAAUCUCCCACAAGAGUAGACACAUAAAUAGGGGAACUCAAAGAAUCCCGUGAUAAGCCCAAAUACGGGGCAAAAUAAGAGGACACAUAGGAAUAUGUAGAGCCUGGAUCAAAAUAAUAACGACGCAUCUCUAUGACAGACUGUAACAAUACAUGUAAUGACAGAAUCAGAAGCAAUUGCCUCUGUACGAGAAGGAAGGGCAUAAUAUAUGGCCUGGCCUCCCCCUCUAGGGAGACCUCUACCUCCCCGACCUCUACCUCGAGCUAGCUGAGAAGGUGGGGUGGCAGCUGGUGCUAUAAUCAUAGCCUGAGGACCUAGUGGAGCACGUUGUGGCUGAGAAGUCUGUGGAGGUGCCUCCUCCUAAAUCUGGGGCAAUCCCUCACCAUAUGGCGAGUGUCUCCACACUCAAAACAAGCUCUAGUAGGGUAUGGCUGUUGUGACUGGCUUGGGCCAGGCCUGCUGGACUGGCCGUUAGGAACACCCCGUGCAGGAGGCACACUAGAUACUUGCGGUGUAUAAUAAGGCUUCUAGGGCCUAGGAGGAACUGGAACACCACUAGCGGCUGGAAGAGCUGAAUGAAUGGGGCGGUUUACAUAACCACUACCAUGGCGAGUUGCUGGGAUGCGAGCACAAGAAAAAUAACCAGUCUCUCGAGACCUCUUGGCCUCUCUCUCCUCUCUGUCCUGGGCAAGNNNNNNNNNNNNNNNNNNNNNNNNNNNNNNNNNNNNNNNNNNNNNNNNNNNNNNNNNNNNNNNNNNNNNNNNNNNNNNNNNNNNNNNNNNNNNNNNNNNNNNNNNNNNNNNNNNNNNNNNNNNNNNNNNNNNNNNNNNNNNNNNNNNNNNNNNNNNNNNNNNNNNNNNNNNNNNNNNNNNNNNNNNNNNNNNNNNNNNNNNNNNNNNNNNNNNNNNNNNNNNNNNNNNNNNNNNNNNNNNNNNNNNNNNNNNNNNNNNNNNNNNNNNNNNNNNNNNNNUCUAAGUUGGAAUGUAGUAAAAGAAACCCCGCUCGUCUCCGCUACGCCCAUAGCACGGAGAAUACGAUGACACUCCUCCAGAAAACCCUGAUCAUCAUCUGUAGCCAAUCCGCUGAAAGUAGGUGGGUGGUACUUCUUGUACCUCUCAAGUCUGAGUUGUUCCACCUCAGAAGUUGCUGCCCUAACCUCGGGUUGAGCUGGAGCUACUGGCUACAUUGGUACAAUUUUUGGAACCUGGUUGACCUGAACCCGCUGCUCUGGAGUACCGACGAUGGGAGUCUGUGCUUCUCCCCCGGCCUGAGAUGUGGCAGGAGUAAGUGGGAUCGAUCCAGUCUGAGCUAAGAUGCUGAACAUGCUCAGAAAAUCGGCUAGAGUCUCCUAGAGGGCUAGUACAAAAAUAGGUACCUCAGGUGUCUGCCCUCCAGUUGGAGCUACUGGGGCCUUCUCUGUAGCAGCUCGUGCGGGUUCCCUGGCUGCACCACACGGACGUCCUUGGCCUCUACCCCGGCACCGGCCUCUCGCGGCUCUAGUAGGGGGUGCGGGUGCCUGGUCAUCAGAUCCGUUUGCACGUGUCCUCACUAUCUGUGAGAGAAUAGAAUACAAAAGUUUAGAAUUUUUGAAGUCAACAAUUUUCGAACGACAAAGAAUCAAAGUAGUGAAAUUUCCUAACAGUUUCAUAGCCUCCCGAAGAUAAGUACAGACGUUUCCGUACAAAUCCACGAGACUCUAAUAAACCGGCUAGUCACUCACGACACAUAUGAAUCUAGAGCUCUGAUACCAACUUGUCACGACCCAAUUUCCCCUCCGUAUGACGUCGUGACGGCAUCUAGUCUCUAUGACUAGGUAAGCCUAACAUUUGCGAAAUAAUGAAAAGAAAACAUGAAUUAACCAACUAACGGUUCAAAAUACACAGUAAUCCCAAAACCUGAAUAUCAUAAGUCACAAGCUACAGAAGGAAACUAGUAUCUCUAUACACCAGAGUCUAAUAACAGAAGUAAGGAAGGUAAAUGACAUAGGAGGAGUCGAGGGAGACUCCGAGGUCUGCGGACAUGGCAGAUAUAAGUUGAAAUCUCCGUACAGCAGCAAGAACUCUCAGCUAGUAGCGGGGCUGAUAAGAUAUACCUAGAUUUGCACACAAAAACAUGUGCAGAAGAGUAGCAUGAGUACACCACAAUCGGUACCCAGUAUGUGCCAAGCCUAUCCUCGGUAGAGUAGUGACGAGGUUAGGUCCGAGCCCUACUGGAAUAUGAUAAUAAAGCAAGGCAAAAUGGAAAUAUCGCAGUAAAUAAAGACUGAAAUUUAACAAGAAAGAAUUUAUAGAAGGUAACAGCUUAAUACACAGAAAUACAAUAGGGGAUCUCCUGAGAUACCGUCUCGUAGUCCCAAAUAUAAAUGUGUAGGGGGAUCUCCUAGAAUACCGUUCCGUAGUUCCAAAGUAAAUAUGCAAGAUAGGGAAAUCUCCCGGAAUACCGUUCCAUAGUCCCAAAGUAAAUAUGCAGUACAAGGGGAUCUCCCGGAAUACCGUUCUGUAGUCCCAAAGUAAAUAUGCAGCGCAAAUAAUAGAAAUACAAUUACAUCACGAAAUCUUAUGAUUUAGACUAAGUACCAGUCAAGGAAGAAGCAGAAAAUUCACUAAGCAUGCUGCACAGAGUUCACAUAAGCAGUUAAUACACGUAGAUAUGCUGUAUUAGACUAAACAGGAUAGCUAUACAUAUUGAAAUAACACAAUUAAGAAUGAAAAUGGAUUAAUACUUAUUAAAAUGGUAUAACUCAAAAUAAAAGAAGAACAUGUUGUUGCUUAGUAAGAAAAUCGGGUUUUUUCCACAACUAGCCUGUGUACGUACUCGUCACCUCACGUACACAACGCUCACAUAUCACAAUAGUUCCAAAUCUUAAGGGGAUUUACCCCACACAAAGUUAGGCAAGCCACUUACCUCGAACCAAGCUCAAUCAAUCGGUCACAAUGCCUUUCCCAUAAAUAUCCGGCUCCGAAUGGCCCAAAUCUAGCCAAAAGCAAUUACAUAUCAUAAAUACAACCAAAAUAGACUCAUCUAAUUAAUGAAAUCAAUACUUUAACAAAAGUUCCAAAAUUCGUCCUAAAAGGUCGACUCGGGCCCAUGUCUCGGAAUCAGAUAAAAGUCACAAAAUUCGAAAGCCCAUUCACUCACGAGUCUAACCAUAUCAAAUUUACUAAAAUCUGACACCAAAUGGUCCUUCAAAUUCACAAAUCAAACUUUCCAAAUCCCUAGCCUCAAAUUUCCAAAUUUCACCUUAAAUACGCACUAACUAGGUGGAAAAAUAAAUGGGGAAGCAAGAUUAUUGAUAAAAAAUAAGCACAAGGGACUUACCUCAAGAAAUGCCUCGAAAAUGCUCUAAACAAUUUCCCUAAACCGAGUUUGCAAAGUCAAAAAUGAUAAAAAUUACGAAGCCCUUCGGUUUUAAACACUGCCCAGGCAUUUCCGCACCUGCGGAGCCUGGGCUCGCCCCUGCGCGCCCGCUGGUGCGAAAAUGUGGGCGCGCCUACGAAAAUGACUAACCUUGGAUGCCUCCGCUUCUGCAACCACUGGUCCGCAUCUGCGCUAUCGCAGGUGCGGAGAAACCAUCGCACUUGUGACCUAUGCUGAUCUCCACCCCUUCUGCAUCUGCGCUCAACCUUCCGUGCAUGCGGCCUCGCACCUGCUGCUAAUAACCUCGCAGGUGCGACCACACCAGCAAAAGACCAAACUUUAGAAAUUUCUCAACUUCCAUUCCAAGUUCGUUAACCACCCGAAACUCACUCGAGACCCCCGGGACCUCAACCAAACAUACCAACCAAUCCUAAAAUACCAUACAAACUUAGUCGAGCCCUCAAAUCAUAUCAAACAACGCUAAAAUCGCAAAUCAUCCUCCGAUUCAAACUUAAAGAACUUGAAACUUCUAAAUUCGACAACUGAUGCCGAAACCAACCAAACCAUGUUCGAUUGACCCUAAAUUUUGCACACAAGUCAUAUUCAACAUUACGGACCUACUCCAACUUCCGAAAAUAAAAUCUGACCCCGAUAUCAAAAAGUCCACUACCGGUCAAAAUCUCCAAAAAUUUGACUUUCGCCAUUUCAAGCCUAAAUAAGUUACGAACCUCCAAAAUACACUCCGGACACGCCCCUAAGUCCAAAAUCACCUAACGGAGCUAACGAAAUUGACGGAAUUUCAUUUCGGAGUCAUCUUCACUAAUUCCGACUACGGUCCAAAUCCUAAGGCUUAAACCUCCAUUUAGGGACUAAGUGUCCCAAAACACUCCAAAAACCAAAACGAAACCUCCCGCCAAGUCACAAUAGCAUAAAUAGAUAUGGAAAAACUAGUAAAUAGGGGAUCGGGACUAUUACUCUCAAAACGACCGGCUGGGUCGUUACAUUUACUUUGAGUCUGAUCAACAACUUUUAUGUAUUUUAUGAGUUACAUGGUAUCAUUGCUAGGAGUUAGAGUUAGACUAAAAGAGUGUCUACUUCUUGUAAACACUCGUCGAAAUUUAACUUCUAUAUGUGAUGUAAUUUUUUUUAUGCAGGGAACAGGAAUUAGAGCUUCUGAGGAAAGAUAUUUGAGAAAAAAUUUUCCAAGAGAUUAAGAUGAUUUUAAAAAAUGAGUUUAAAAGAUCCCCCAAAUAGCAGUUCUGUUUGGAUAAAUAUACAUGACAUUCUGAUGUUAAGAAGGCAGACCCAAUACAGAUUACACCGAGUGCUCAUUCAAAAAUGUUGCAAGAAAUGAGUAUGAUUCUUUUUGGAAUUUUAGUUUAUCUGAUAAUGUAAUAUUGAAGUACCUAUACUUAUUUUUUAAUAAUAUAUAUUUUACUUAAUUGAUGGCUUGUAUUUGUGUCAGAACCAUUCUAUAGUAUUUGGCAUGUUUUGAUACAUUAGCAUGAAAAAGAGGAUUAAUUAUAAGAAGACAAAUAAGUAAAUAAGAUAAUGGAACACAAUUGUGGCAGUU
rnacentral:lncRNA from 1 species